GAUGAACGCUGGCGGCGUGCUUAACACAUGCAAGUCGAACGAAGCACUUUAUUUGAUUUCCUUCGGGACUGAUUAUUUUGUGACUGAGUGGCGGACGGGUGAGUAACGCGUGGGUAACCUGCCUUGUACAGGGGGAUAACAGUUGGAAACGGCUGCUAAUACCGCAUAAGCGCCCAGCAUCGCAUGAUGCAGUGUGAAAACCUCCGGUGGUAUAAGAUGGACCCGCGUUGGAUUAGCUAGUUGGUGAGGUAACGGCCCACCAAGGCGACGAUCCAUAGCCGAGCUGAGAGGGUGACCGGCCACAGUGGGACUGAGACACGGCCCAAACUCCUACGGGAGGCAGCAGUGGGGAAUAUUGCACAAUGGGCGAAAGCCUGAUGCAGCGACGCCGCGUGAGCGAAGAAGUAUUUCGGUAUGUAAAGCUCUAUCAGCAGGGAAGAUAAUGACGGUACCUGACGAAGAAGCACCGGCUAAAUACGUG
rnacentral:rRNA from 1 species